GCAUUCGUGGUGUAAUGGCCAAAACACUCGGCGUGUAUUCGAGAGGUCCGAGGUUCGAGUCCCGGCGAGGACA
rnacentral:tRNA from 1 species